AUGGAACUUCAAGAACUCGCCGACUUCCUGCGCUGCUGUGAGGCAGCCAUGUCUCAGAUCAGAGGUCUUGAAAUACUUAAUGAUUGCAACGAGAACCAGAAAAUUCUCUAUAAACUCCCAGACUGGGUGACUUCAAGGUGGAAUAGGAAAGUCAUAGAAGCAGAAGAAGACACUCACAUGUUCCCGAGCUUCAGCCAGUUUGUCAAGUUUCUCACACGUGAAGCUAAAAUCGCUUGCAGCCCAAUAACAUCUCUUCAUGCUCUUAAGCCAAGUGAAAGGAUUCCAGACAAGUGUGUAAAGAGCGGAGGUCCUGGAGCAAAGGUGUUAGCAACCACCUCAGAUGAGAAAGCCGUCGUCACAAGCUGUGUCUUCUGUGAGAAGGCAGGACACAGUCUACAAAGGUGUUACAAGUUUAUGCAAGGGACAAUCUUGGAGCGAAUCAAGUUUGUUCAAGAAAAUAAAUUGUGUUUUGGCUGUCUCAAAUUUGGCCACCGAUCUAGAGAUUGUAGAGAAAGAGACAGCUGCGACACCUGUGAGAGAAGACACCCAACUUGUCUUCAUGACGAUCGCACCAAGGAAGAAAGGAUGUCUACAAGAUCUGACAGAGCAAGGUACAGUGACAAAGACAAAGAAGAGUACAAAGAAAGGAAGAAUGAACAGUCACAAGACCAGUCAGAGAGACCAUCACGUGAGGCGACGGCGCUUAGAGUCAUCCAGAAUGUUGGAGACACGCAUACCUCCACAAUAAUUCCAGUGUGGGUGUCAUCUACAAGUGUACCAAGUCGUGAAGUUCUGGUGUACGCACUCCUUGAUACACAAAGUGACACAACCUUUAUCCUCGACGAGACAGCGAAGGCUCUCAAUGCUAGGAGUGAACCAGUUCAGCUAAACCUCUCCACGUUGGCUUCAAGAAACACAAUCGUGUCCUGUCGGAAGCUAGCUGGUCUACAAGUUAGAGGUUUUUAUUCAGACAAGAUAAUCACUCUUCCAGUGACUUACUCAAGAGAGUUUAUCCCUGCAAACAGAGACCAUAUUCCCACACCAGAUACGGCGAAAGCAUGGCCUCAUCUUGAACACAUUGCAGAUGAGAUCGCUCCUCAGCAAAGCUGUGAUGUCGGCCUGUUAAUUGGCUACAACUGUGCCCAAGCCCUCGUUCCAAGACAAGUGGUGCCUGGUGAGGAACACCAGCCGUUUGCACAAAAGACAGACUUGGGCUGGAGUGUAGUGGGAUAUGGCAACCCGUGUCUCAACUAUGGAGAUGCAAUUGGAAUAAGUCACCAAGUCAUGGUGAAGCAAGUGAUGCCAGGUCUACCGUCCUCUUCAGACCUCACAAAGGAAGUGCACUAUGUCUGUAGGACACAGAUCAAAGAAGUUCUCUUACCUGCAGAUGUCAUCAAGAUGCUGGAGUCUGACUUCGUUGAAAGAGAGUCGGAAACCAGCCCCAUCUCUCAAGAAGAUCUAAGGUUCCUGUCAAAAAUGGAAAAGAGCAUCAAGUUAAAGAGCGACGGUCAUUACGAAAUGCCGCUGCCAUUCAAGAAAGAAAGACCUAACUUACCUGAUAAUAAGAUCUGUGCUAUCCAUCGUCUCAGGUGCCUAGAAAGAAGGCUGAGAAGAAACGACCAGUACUACAAAGACUACAAGACCUUCAUGGAUGAGACCAUAAGACGCGGAGAUGCAGAAAGGGUCCCGGAGGAAGACAUCCACAAAGCUCCAGCUUGGUACAUUCCGCAUCAUGGGGUGUAUCAUCCACAAAAGCCUGGGAAGAUACGCGUUGUCUUUGAUUGCUCCGCCAAGUACCAAGGAACGUCCUUGAACGACCACCUCCUGACGGGUCCUGAGUUGACAAACACCUUGGUGGGAGUUCUGUAUCGCUUCCGAAGAGGUCCUGUGGCAAUCAUGUGUGACAUCGAACGCAUGUUUCACCAGUUCCAUGUUAAGGCAGAAGACCAAGAUUACCUGCGGUUCUUUGGUGGGACAAUGGAGAUCUCGAAA
ensembl:lncRNA